UUAGAACAGGACAUGCGGCUUUGCUAGAACAGCACAUGCGGUCUGCGGAUCGACCAGAUAGCCCCCUAGAACAGCACAUGCGGUUUGGCUAGAACAGCACGUGCGGUUUUGCUAGAACAGCACGUGGGGCUUUGCGCUGAAGGGGUCUCGCAGGACGCGCAGGUCCGGGCGUUCGGCGAUGGUGUAGCCUGCGCGGAAGUCGCCAAAGGCAAUCGGAUAGCUGUUGGAGGUCGGGUCCGGCAUGUCCUCUGCAAUCAGCACCGGGUAGCCCAUAAGGCGCGCGGGCUCACCCGCGGCGAGGCCGUCAGACCACAGGAAGCGGCCGUCGGCGUCCUUCAAUUUCCUGAGCAUUCCCGCGGUUUUGGAGUUCAUGAUGAAAGUCGCAUUGGCGCGGUAUUCCGCCCCCAGCGCAUAGACCAGGUCGAUGAUCGCGUCGCCAUUGCCGACCUCACCAUCCACGCCAGUUGCCUUGUAGCCGAUGUUGCCCCAGGUCCAGCUGUCGUUGUCCGUGACCGGGUAGUUGAGGAAGCCGGUGGGCUUGUCCACGCCGUCGCCGUUGAUGAAGGCGUCUGCCUCCGAGCGGGAAAACUUGCCGGCGAUGCGGCCAGCCAGCCAGCCCUCGAUAUCAAAGGCGCUGUCAUCCAACAGCCGCUGCGAGAUUUUCGGCAGCGCCGACAGCUCAUGCAGCGGGAUCGAGAUGCGGUCAAUCGUCGGCGUGCCGGUCUCGGUCGUUGCCGUGGCCUCAUCCGCCCAGCCCGAGCCCAGAUCGUUCUGGUCGAUCAGCACGUCAUAGGCGGUGCCCUCGACAUUCACCACAUUUGCAAUCGCGCGGAUUGAAGCCGUGGCAUUCAGCAC
rnacentral:rRNA from 1 species